CAAGCCGUAAACACUGAAUGCUAGUUGUCUCUCGCUUCGCGAGGGGUGACGUAAGUUAACACGUUAAGCAUUCCGCCUGGGGAGUNACGAAGCGAAAGACCUUACCCAGGUUUGAAAUGUAUCUGCACAGUUAUGGAAACAUAGCUUUCUUCGAGAGUGAUACACAGGUGA
rnacentral:rRNA from 1 species